AUUGAACGCUGGCGGCAGGCUUAACACAUGCAAGUCGAGCGGAUGAGGGUAGCUUGCUAUCUGAUUCAGCGGCGGACGGGUGAGUAAUGCCUAGGAAUCUGCCUGGUAGUGGGGGACAACGUUUCGAAAGGGACGCUAAUACCGCAUACGUCCUACGGGAGAAAGUGGGGGAACUUCGGACCUUGCGUUAAUAGAUGAGCCUAAGUCGGAUUAGCUAGUUGGUGGGGUAAAGGCCUACCAAGGCGACGAUCUGUAGCGGGUCUGAGAGGAUGAGCCGCCACACUGGGACUGGGACACGGCCCAGACUCCUACGGGAGGCAGCAGUGGGGAAUAUUGGACAAUGGGCGGAAGCCUGAUCCAGCCAUGCCGCGUGUGUGAAGAAGGCCUUUUGGUUGUAAAGCACUUUAAGCGAGGAGGAGGCUACCUGGAUUAAUACUCUAGGAUAGUGGACGUUACUCGCAGAAUAAGCACCGGCUAACUCUGUGCCAGCCGCCGCAGUAAUAC
rnacentral:rRNA from 1 species